UUAUUGAGGAGGGAGAAUGGCUUACGUACACGUAUCAGCCCCUGUAUGUGAAAGGCCUAGCCAGCGAGUUUCUUCUGCAGUCUUUAAUCCUGCUCCCAGCAGUUUCUGGAUUGGGACUAGGAAUUUGAGGGGGCAGUGACUGGCAGAGGGAGCAAGUGCCAGCA